CCUACGGGAGGCAGCAGUGAGGAAUAUUGGUCAAUGGACGCAAGUCUGAACCAGCCAUGCCGCGUGAAGGAUGAAGGCCUUUGGGUUGUAAACUUCUUUUAUCUGGGAAGCGGUACCAGAGGAAUAAGCACCGGCUAACUCCGUGCCAGCAGCCGCGGUAAUACGGAGGGUGCAAGCGUUAUCCGGAUUCACUGGGUUUAAAGGGUGUGUAGGCGGGUAUUUAAGUCAGUGGUGAAAUCUCCGGGCUCAACCCGGAAACUGCCAUUGAUACUAUAUAUCUUGAAUUUUGUUGAGGUGGGCGGAAUAUGUCAUGUAGCGGUGAAAUGCAUAGAUAUGACAUAGAACACCAAUUGCGAAGGCAGCUCGCUAAACAAAAUUGACGCUGAGGCACGAAAGCGUGGGGAUCAAACAGGAUUAGAUACCCUGGUAGUC
rnacentral:rRNA from 1 species